CAUAGGUUAAUGAGGCGAACCGGGGGAACUGAAACAUCUAAGUACCCCGAGGAAAAGAAAUCAACCGAGAUUCCCCCAGUAGCGGCGAGCGAACGGGGAGCAGCCCAGAGCCUGAAUCAGUAUGUGUGUUAGUGGAAGCGUCUGGAAAGGCGCGCGAUACAGGGUGACAGCCCCGUACACAAAAAUGCACAUGCUGUGAGCUCGAUGAGUAGGGCGGGACACGUGGUAUCCUGUCUGAAUAUGGGGGGACCAUCCUCCAAGGCUAAAUACUCCUGACUGACCGAUAGUGAACCAGUACCGUGAGGGAAAGGCGAAAAGAACCCCGGCGAGGGGAGUGAAAAAGAACCUGAAACCGUGUACGUACAAGCAGUGGGAGCACAGAGCAAUCUGUGUGACUGCGUACCUUUUGUAUAAUGGGUCAGCGACUUAUAUUCUGUAGCAAGGUUAACCGAAUAGGGGAGCCGAAGGGAAACCGAGUCUUAACUGGGCGUUAAGUUGCAGGGUAUAGACCCGAAACCCGGUGAUCUAGCCAUGGGCAGGUUGAAGGUUGGGUAACACUAACUGGAGGACCGAACCGACUAAUGUUGAAAAAUUAGCGGAUGACUUGUGGCUGGGGGUGAAAGGCCAAUCAAACCGGGAGAUAGCUGGUUCUCCCCGAAAGCUAUUUAGGUAGCGCCUCGUGAAUUCAUCUCCGGGGGUAGAGCACUGUUUCGGCAAGGGGGUCAUCCCGACUUACCAACCCGAUGCAAACUGCGAAUACCGGAGAAUGUUAUCACGGGAGACACACGGCGGGUGCUAACGUCCGUCGUGAAGAGGGAAACAACCCAGACCGCCAGCUAAGGUCCCAAAGUCAUGGUUAAGUGGGAAACGAUGUGGGAAGGCCCAGACAGCCAGGAUGUUGGCUUAGAAGCAGCCAUCAUUUAAAGAAAGCGUAAUAGCUCACUGGUCGAGUCGGCCUGCGCGGAAGAUGUAACGGGGCUAAACCAUGCACCGAAGCUGCGGCAGCGACGCUGAUGCGUUGUUGGGUAGGGGAGCGUUCUGUAAGCCUGCGAAGGUGUGCUGUGAGGCAUGCUGGAGGUAUCAGAAGUGCGAAUGCUGACAUAAGUAACGAUAAAGCGGGUGAAAAGCCCGCUCGCCGGAAGACCAAGGGUUCCUGUCCAACGUUAAUCGGGGCAGGGUGAGUCGACCCCUAAGGCGAGGCCGAAAGGCGUAGUCGAUGGGAAACAGGUUAAUAUUCCUGUACUUGGUGUUACUGCGAAGGGGGGACGGAGAAGGCUAUGUUGGCCGGGCGACGGUUGUCCCGGUUUAAGCGUGUAGGCUGGUUUUCCAGGCAAAUCCGGAAAAUCAAGGCUGAGGCGUGAUGACGAGGCACUACGGUGCUGAAGCAACAAAUGCCCUGCUUCCAGGAAAAGCCUCUAAGCAUCAGGUAACAUCAAAUCGUACCCCAAACCGACACAGGUGGUCAGGUAGAGAAUACCAAGGCGCUUGAGAGAACUCGGGUGAAGGAACUAGGCAAAAUGGUGCCGUAACUUCGGGAGAAGGCACGCUGAUAUGUAGGUGAAGUCCCUCGCGGAUGGAGCUGAAAUCAGUCGAAGAUACCAGCUGGCUGCAACUGUUUAUUAAAAACACAGCACUGUGCAAACACGAAAGUGGACGUAUACGGUGUGACGCCUGCCCGGUGCCGGAAGGUUAAUUGAUGGGGUUAGCGCAAGCGAAGCUCUUGAUCGAAGCCCCGGUAAACGGCGGCCGUAACUAUAACGGUCCUAAGGUAGCGAAAUUCCUUGUCGGGUAAGUUCCGACCUGCACGAAUGGCGUAAUGAUGGCCAGGCUGUCUCCACCCGAGACUCAGUGAAAUUGAACUCGCUGUGAAGAUGCAGUGUACCCGCGGCAAGACGGAAAGACCCCGUGAACCUUUACUAUAGCUUGACACUGAACAUUGAGCCUUGAUGUGUAGGAUAGGUGGGAGGCUUUGAAGUGUGGACGCCAGUCUGCAUGGAGCCGACCUUGAAAUACCACCCUUUAAUGUUUGAUGUUCUAACGUUGACCCGUAAUCCGGGUUGCGGACAGUGUCUGGUGGGUAGUUUGACUGGGGCGGUCUCCUCCUAAAGAGUAACGGAGGAGCACGAAGGUUGGCUAAUCCUGGUCGGACAUCAGGAGGUUAGUGCAAUGGCAUAAGCCAGCUUGACUGCGAGCGUGACGGCGCGAGCAGGUGCGAAAGCAGGUCAUAGUGAUCCGGUGGUUCUGAAUGGAAGGGCCAUCGCUCAACGGAUAAAAGGUACUCCGGGGAUAACAGGCUGAUACCGCCCAAGAGUUCAUAUCGACGGCGGUGUUUGGCACCUCGAUGUCGGCUCAUCACAUCCUGGGGCUGAAGUAGGUCCCAAGGGUAUGGCUGUUCGCCAUUUAAAGUGGUACGCGAGCUGGGUUUAGAACGUCGUGAGACAGUUCGGUCCCUAUCUGCCGUGGGCGCUGGAGAACUGAGGGGGGCUGCUCCUAGUACGAGAGGACCGGAGUGGACGCAUCACUGGUGUUCGGGUUGUCAUGCCAAUGGCACUGCCCGGUAGCUAAAUGCGGAAGAGAUAAGUGCUGAAAGCAUCUAAGCACGAAACUUGCC
rnacentral:rRNA from 1 species